GACGAACGCUGGCGGCGUGCUUAACACAUGCAAGUCGAACGGAAAGGCCUGCUUUCCCUUGUGGUUUGCGGGUACUCGAGUGGCGAACGGGUGAGUAACACGUGAGUGAUCUGCCCCCAACUUGGGUAUAAGCCUGGGAAACUGGGUCUAAUUCCCGAUAGGACUGCAGGGUGGUGCCUGUGGUGGAAAACGAUUUUCUAGUGGGUGGGGAUGAGCUCGCGGCCUAUCAGCUUGUUGGUGGGGUAAUGGCCUACCAAGGCGGCGACGGGUAGCCGGCCUGAGAGGGGGGACGGCCACAUUGAGACUGAGAUACGGCCCAGACGCCUGCGGGAGGCAGCAGUGGGGAAUAGUGCACAAUGGGCGGAAGCCUGAUGCAGCGACGCCGCGUGGGGGAUGACGGCCUUCGGGUUGUAAACUCCUUUCGACCGCGAGGAAGCCACCUGGUUGGAAGGGUGGUGACGGUAGUGGUAGAAGAAGCACCGGCUAACUACGUG
rnacentral:rRNA from 1 species